GGAGAGAUGGCUCAGCAGUUAAGAGCACUGGCUGUUCUUCCAGAGGACCUGGGUUCGAUUCCCAGCACCC
rnacentral:tRNA from 1 species